rnacentral:rRNA from 1 species
UACAGAGGGGGCAAGCGUUGUUCGGAAUUACUGGGCGUAAAGGGCGCGUAGGCGGCCCGCUAAGUCGAACGUGAAAUCCCCGAGCUCAACUCGGGAACUGCGUCCGAUACUGGUGGGCUUGAAUCCGGGAGAGGGAUGCGGAAUUCCAGGUGUAGCGGUGGAAUGCGCAGAUAUCAGGAAGAACACCAACGGCGAAGGCAGCUCGCUGGGACGGAACUGACGCUAAGGCGCGAAAGCGUGGGGAGCGAACAGG